rnacentral:rRNA from 1 species
CCUACGGGAGGCAGCAGUGGGGAAUAUUGCGCAAUGGGCGAAAGCCUGACGCAGCGACGCCGCGUGAGGGAUGAAGGUCUUCGGAUCGUAAACCUCUGUCAGCAGGGAAGAACGGUCACUGUGCUAAUCAGCAGUGAAUUGACGGUACCUGCAAAGGACGCACCGGCUAACUCCGUGCCAGCAGCCGCGGUAAUACGGAGGGUGCGAGCGUUAAUCGGAAUUACUGGGCGUAAAGCGCUCGUAGGCGGUAUGUCAAGUCAAGGGUGAAAUCCCCGCGCUCAACGUGGGAACUGCAUUUGAAACUGGCAAACUGGAGUGUGUGAGAGGAUAGUGGAAUGCCAGGUGUAGGAGUGAAAGCCGUAGAUAUCUGGAGGAACAUCAGUGGCGAAGGCGACUAUCUGGCACAUAACUGACGCUGAGGAGCGAAAGCGUGGGUAGCAAACAGGAUUAGAUACCCGGGUAGUC